rnacentral:rRNA from 1 species
GACAGAGGGUGCAAACGUUGUUCGGAAUUACUGGGCGUAAAGCGAGUGUAGGCGGUCUCAAAAGUCGGGUGUGAAAGCCCUGGGCUCAACCCAGGAAGUGCACUCGAAACUGCGAGGCUAGAGUAUCGGAGAGGUUGGUGGAAUUCCUGGUGUAGCGGUGAAAUGCGCAGAUAUCAGGAGGAACACCGAUGGCGAAGGCAGGUCUCUGGGCAUUAACUGACGCUGAGGAGCGAAAGCAUGGGGAGCGAACAGG